rnacentral:rRNA from 1 species
GACGAACGCUGGCGGCGUGCUUAACACAUGCAAGUCGGACGGAAAGGCCCUGCUUUUGUGGGGUGCUCGAGUGGCGAACGGGUGAGUAACACGUGAGUAACCUGCCCUUGACUUUGGGAUAACUUCAGGAAACUGGGGCUAAUACCGGAUAGGAGCUCCUGCUGCAUGGUGGGGGUUGGAAAGUUUCGGCGGUUGGGGAUGGACUCGCGGCUUAUCAGCUUGUUGGUGGGGUAGUGGCUUACCAAGGCUUUGACGGGUAGCCGGCCUGAGAGGGUGACCGGCCACAUUGGGACUGAGAUACGGCCCCGACUCCUACGGGAGGCAGCAGUGGGGAAUAUUGCACAAUGGGCGGAAGCCUGAUGCAGCAACGCCGCGUGCGGGAUGACGGCCUUCGGGUUGUAAACCGCUUUCGCCUGUGACGAAGCGUGAGUGACGGUAAUGGGUAAAGAAGCACCGGCUAACUACGUG